UACGUAGGUCCCGAGCGUUGUCCGGAUUUAUUGGGCGUAAAGCGAGCGCAGGUGGUUUAUUAAGUCUGGUGUAGAAGGCAGUGGCUCAACCAUUGUAUGCAUUGAAAACUGGUAGACUUGAGUGCAGGAGAGGAGAGUGGAAUUCCAUGUGUAGCGGUGAAAUGCGUAGACAUAUGGAGGAACACCGGUGGCGAAAGCGGCUCUCUGGCCUGUAACUGACACUGAGGCUCGAAAGCGUGGGGAGCAAACAGG
rnacentral:rRNA from 1 species